GGGCACACGUACACCCUCUUUCUUACCUCCUUGGUGGCACGCUGCCGGAGCUUCCACGGGAGGUUGUGUCCCCGCCGGUGGAGCUGGAGGUUCUGGUCCCUCUGGAACCCCUUGUUGCAGAUCUCGCACACGAAACGGUUCGUCGCUAACAGCGUCUUUGGCGACAAAGCAAUCACUUCAGCAUCCGGAUCUGAAGAACAUUAUUCAAAAGCACUCAUAAAGUGACACAAAAUGGAGGAGGUUUCGCUUCUUUUUUAGGGGCGGGGCGGGUGGUUGAGGUGCGGUUUCUAAGUCCAAAGCCGAUAAGGUGGCGGCUUCCUCGCCGGAAAGUGGCAUUGGUGGUGGCUCCGUCGUCAUAGCUGCUCAAUCAAUUUAUGAAUGAGGGCAGAGGCUCAUUCAUAUGCAGAUGUAAGUAGUACUCUUUUCUCUUCUCUGGAAAGCUGAAAACUACCUGUUUAGUAUUCCAUGAAAUGAAAUGAAACACAAGGAUCACCUACGUUAUAAUCACUGGUCAACUGAGACCUUAUGAUAAUAAUUAAAAAUGUGUGUUAACUUUUGGUUUUUCCCUAGAAAUGGAGAGGAGUGUUGGGAUUGGAGGGUGAGAAAAGAGAGAAAGGUGUUGCUGGUUCCUAUGAGACAGGGUUUCAAGUGUUCAACAUUUUCUGGGUGGAGUCGUGGGCGGUGGGAACUGUGUACAACGGUCCUAUAAGGCGGCGGUGUUUGGUAGGGGCUCAAGCCUCAAAGGAAGAGAGAGAGAGAGAAACAAGGAGAGAAUAUAUUAUUUAUUUGAAAAUGAGUUAAGACUUAAGAAGUAAGAACUUAACAUAGUAUCUGCAUAUGCAUUAAAAAAAUUAGGCUAAAGCGGCGCCACUUAACCAUGGGUAAGUACUACGGGAGAGUGAGAAGAGUUUCUUUGUAAAAAAAUAAAUAUUUGAGGGAUGACUGGAACAUCAGAUUUCCAUGGGCUAUGACCACCGGUGUUAAUUUCAUUGUUAAGACAGCGGUGCUUUUCCUAAUUUCCUGUACUACAACCUUGUACUAUUGAAUAUUCUUCUCUAAUCAAUCUAGUAGUAGUAUUUAUUAAUUUUGAAA